GCCUGGGUGGCUCAGUUGGCUUGAGCGUCUGACUUGGGUUCAGGUCAUGAUCUCACGGUUCGUGGGUUCAAGCCCCACAUCGGGUU
rnacentral:tRNA from 1 species